CGGGGAGUAGCGCAGUUUGGCUAGCGCGUCUGAAUGGGGUUCAGAAGGUCGUGGGUUCAAGUCCCACCUCCCCGA
rnacentral:tRNA from 1 species